rnacentral:rRNA from 1 species
UACAGAGGGUGCAAGCGUUAAUCGGAAUUACUGGGCGUAAAGGGUGCGUAGGUGGUUUGUUAAGUCAGGCGUGAAAUCCUCGGGCUCAACCUGGGAACUGCGCUUGAUACUGACAGACUCGAGUGUGGUAGAGGAUAGUGGAAUUCCCGGUGUAGCGGUGAAAUGCGUAGAUAUCGGGAGGAACAUCAGUGGCGAAGGCGGCUAUCUGGACUAACACUGACACUGAGGCACGAAAGCGUGGGUAGCAAACAGG